rnacentral:rRNA from 1 species
GUAGGUGGCAAGCGUUGUCCGGAAUUAUUGGGCGUAAAGCGCGCGCAGGCGGUCCUUUAAGUCUGAUGUGAAAGCCCACGGCUCAACCGUGGAGGGUCAUUGGAAACUGGGGGACUUGAGUACAGAAGAGGAAAGCGGAAUUCCAAGUGUAGCGGUGAAAUGCGUAGAGAGUUGGAGGAACACCAGUGGCGAAGGCGGCUUUCUGGUCUGUAACUGACGCUGAGGCGCGAAAGCGUGGGGAGCAAACAGGAUUAGAUACCCUGGUAGUCCACGCCGUAAACGAUGAGUGCUAAGUGUUAGGGGGGUUUCCCGCCCCCCUUAGUGCUGCAGCUAACGCAUUAAGCACUCCGCCUGGGGGAGUACGGCCGCAAGGCUG